CAGAAACCACAGCCCCUCCCCCAGGACCCACGCAAGGCCUAGGGCCCUGGAGUGGGCUCAGAUCAGUGGGCGGGCCGCUGGCCCUCACUGGAGUCCUGUGAGAGGGUGAGUCACAGGUAGCCUUUACUCGACAAAGCUUAAGGCCCUUGUUUCCCUCUGUACCACCUAAUCUUUCAAAAUCACUUGCUUCUUAACAGCCCUCUGAGUUUCUGCCUGCAGCAGCCCUUCAGCUGCUCCCCGGGGGCGGGGGCGGGAAAGCUGGCUUCGAGAGGCCCGCAGCUGUCCUGAACACAGGAAGUCCUCGGCUGCAUGGAAAAGUGGGAUCUCUGAUGCCUGCAAUAUGAAUACAAAAUACACUUCAACAGCAUCCUAAGUGUUAUUUUAACAAAG
rnacentral:lncRNA from 1 species